CCGCCGAGCUGAGCCUUCCCGUCAACCCCAGGGGCGUCCUGGUUUCCGGUUUGGGUGUGGCCGCCAGGAAGAGGAUAGGCCUUGCCGCGGAUGGGUGUAGUGAAAGGCUCCGCUGCGACUGAGGCUUCUGCAGUUCCAAAUGAGCUGAAACACUGAAGUUAUGAGAUUAACAUGAUGAGAAGAGGGAUGAUGAAGAGGCAGCUGAAGGUGAAAAAGUUAUAAAAGGCCUGAUGCCACCAUUGUGGAAAACUGCAAUGUGUGACACAUUGAGAGAAACCAUCUGUCUGCCCAGAGCUGUCUGCUAAGUGGAUCAUCCGGAAGAUGUAUAACUGUAUGAGAAAAGAAAACAAUUAAAAGAUGGUGUUACUUUCUUUCAAA